ACCUGCUACGCCCAACCAUGCUUCUUCGAAAGGCUCUUUGCACACAGCGUUUGGCAUCACGACGCCAGCUAAAGAGAUUCAGAAGAAAAACCUUGCGUCUUCGAAGCCGGAUCACCCCAAGGCCACUGUCACUGAACCUGCAGGCUUUAAUUUCAGGACAGACCAGAGAGCGGAGCGACGGAAGGACUACAAUGCCAAGGUCGAGGAGAGGCUGAAGCUCAAGGAGGCGGAACGGAAACGACAAGAGCAGAAAGCACAAGAGGAGAAGGAAGCACAGUUAAGGGAGUUACGGAAGAGCUUGACUUACAAAGCGAACCCAGUGCCAAGGUUUUAUCAGGAGCCCGCUCCUAUCCCACCUGAGAUUCGCAAACCGGCGCCCACUAGGGCGAAAUCACCGAAUUUUACUGCACCUCGACGGAGGGAGAGCUGCCCGGGAUCUACUGUGAGCGAGAGCGG
rnacentral:lncRNA from 1 species